CCUACGGGGGGCAGCAGUAGGGAAUAUUGCACAAUGGAGGAAACUCUGAUGCAGCGACGCCGCGUGAGUGACGAAGGCCUUCGGGUUGUAAAGCUCUGUUCUUAGGGAAAUUGUACCUAAGGAGAAAGGACCGGCUAACUUCGUGCCAGCAGCCGCGGUAAGACGAGGGGUCCAAGCGUUGUUCGGAAUCAUUGGGCGUAAAGCGGGUGUAGGUGGCUCUAUAAGUCAGGAGUGAAAGCCCCGAGCUUAACUCGGGAAGUGCUUUUGAUACUGUAGAGCUUGAGUGUGGGAGAGGAUCGUGGAAUUCCAGGUGUAGUGGUGAAAUACGUAGAUAUCUGGAGGAACACCGGUGGCGAAGGCGGCGAUCUGGCCCAAACUGACACUGAGACCCGAAAGCAUGGGGAUCAAACAGGAUUAGAUACCCUUGUAGUC
rnacentral:rRNA from 1 species